rnacentral:rRNA from 1 species
UACGGAGGAUGCGAGCGUUAUCCGGAUUUAUUGGGUUUAAAGGGUGCGUAGGCGGCGAGUUAAGUCAGCGGUAAAAGCCCGGGGCUCAACCCCGUACUGCCGUUGAAACUGCAUCCCUUGAGUGCGCGAGAAGUAUGCGGAAUGCGUGGUGUAGCGGUGAAAUGCAUAGAUAUCGCGCAGAACUCCGAUUGCGAAGGCAGCGUACCGGCGCCACACUGACGCUGAGGCACGAAAGCGUGGGGAUCGAACAGG